GACGAACGCUGGCGGCGUGCCUAAUACAUGCAAGUUGAGCGCUGAAGGUUGGUACUUGUACCAACUGGAUGAGCAGCGAACGGGUGAGUAACGCGUGGGGAAUCUGCCUUUGAGCGGGGGACAACAUUUGGAAACGAAUGCUAAUACCGCAUAAAAACUUUAAACACAAGUUUUAAGUUUGAAAGAUGCAAUUGCAUCACUCAAAGAUGAUCCCGCGUUGUAUUAGCUAGUUGGUGAGGUAAAGGCUCACCAAGGCGAUGAUACAUAGCCGACCUGAGAGGGAGGACCGGCAAAUUGGGAAUUGGACACCGCCCAAACCUCCACGGGGGGCAGCAGGAGGGGAUCUUCGGCAAUGGACGGAAGUCUGAACGCACACCGGCGGGGGGGUGAAGGAGGGUUUCGGGUCGGAAAACUCUGUUGGUAGGGAAGAACGUGGGUGAGGGUGAAAAGCGCAUCAAGUGACGGUAACUAACCAGAAAGGAACGGCUAACUACGUG
rnacentral:rRNA from 1 species